CCAGACUCCUACGGGAGGCAGCAGUAGGGAAUUUUCGUCAAUGGGCGCAAGCCUGAACGAGCGAUGCCGCGUGAGUGAAGAAGGCCUUCGGGUCGUAAAGCUCUGUUGCGGGGGAAAAAAGGCAGCAUCAGGAAAUAGGUGCUGACUGAUGGUGCCCCGCCAGAAAGUCACGGCUAACUACGUGCCAGCAGCCGCGGUAAUACGGAGGAUGCGAGCGUUAUCCGGAUUUAUUGGGUUUAAAGGGUGCGUAGGCGGGAUGCCAAGUCAGCGGUAAAAAUGCGGUGCUCAACGCCGUCGAGCCGUUGAAACUGGCGUUCUUGAGUGGGCGAGAAGUAUGCGGAAUGCGUGGUGUAGCGGUGAAAUGCAUAGAUAUCACGCAGAACUCCGAUUGCGAAGGCAGCAUACCGGCGCCCUACUGACGCUGAGGCACGAAAGCGUGGGUAUCGAACAGGAUUAGAUACCCCAGUA
rnacentral:rRNA from 1 species